UAAAAAGAUACACUCUACUGAAGAUUUCCUAAAAGGAAUAAGAAUAAAAAGUAUCUUAUUUUACUUGAAACUAUGAAUUAAGGUUUUAUAUAGCCUAUGAAGAAGGGUUUAUGUCACUUUAAUAAUAAGAUGAGACUAAAAAGAUAUAAAUUUUGGAGUUAAUUACUUCUUCAUAACAGGCUUUGAUAACCUUGUGCCAGCGUCAGCGGUUAAACCGGGAAGUCAAGGCUAUGUAGCCUACAUAGGAACGUUAGAAAAGCGUAUCUUAAGUUAUAUUUAUGGGUAUAAUCCAAUAAUUGAUACAAUCAAUUUUUUCCAAAAAACAAAACGAAAGAUCAAUGCUUAUUAAACCGGGAUUAGAGACCCCGUUAUGGUGAUUGAAUACAGUUCCUGAGGAAAUUCUUUAAUCAACAAUUCUGGCUGUGUGAGAAAGUUAUUAGAGAAACUUGUCUAUUAAUUCGACAAUCCACGAGAACCCAACUUGAAUUGGUAAAUACUACCAUCUUACAUACCGCCGUUUAGGAAACGCAGGAGUCAAUAACCUAAAAAGAAUUUUUUCUAAAAAUCCAGGUAAAGGUGUAGACGAUGUUCAAGUUUAGAUGAGUUGCAAUUUAUCUAUAAUUGGAUAAAGAAUGAAAUUUCUUUAGUAAUUUGGAUUUAAAAGUAAUUAUUCAUUACCAGUGAGUAACGAAUAUCUUAUCUCACGAGUACAUAUCGCCCGUCACUCCCUCCUAAAAGAGGGAGAAGUCGUAACAUAGUUGGUCUACUGGAAGGUGGACCUAAAGC
rnacentral:ncRNA from 1 species